UACGGAGGGUGCAAGCGUUAUCCGGAUUCACUGGGUUUAAAGGGUGCGUAGGUGGGCAUGUAAGUCAGUGGUGAAAUCUCCGGGCUUAACCCGGAAACUGCCAUUGAUACUAUAUGUCUUGAAUAUUGUGGAGGUGAGCGGAAUAUGUCAUGUAGCGGUGAAAUGCUUAGAUAUGACAUAGAACACCAAUUGCGAAGGCAGCUCACUACACAAUCAUUGACGCUGAGGCACGAAAGCGUGGGGAUCAAACAGG
rnacentral:rRNA from 1 species